AAUGAACGUUGGCGGCGUGGAUUAGGCAUGCAAGUCGAGCGAGAAACCCUUCUUCGGAGGGGCGGACAGCGGCGCAAGGGAGAGUAAUGCGUGGAUACCUACCCUCGAGACCGGGAUAGCUGUGGGAAACUGCAGGUAAUACCGGAUAACGUCUCCGGACCAAAUGGUGUGAUUCCGCUUGGGGAUGGGUCCACGUCCUAUUAGCUUGUUGGUGGGGUAACGGCCUACCAAGGCGACGAUGGGUACCGGGUGUGAGAGCAUGACCCGGCUCACUGGGACUGAGACACUGCCCAGACACCUACGGGUGGCUGCAGUCGAGAAUCUUCGGCAAUGAGCGCAAGCUUGACCGAGCGACGCCGCGUGCGGGAUGAAGGCCUUCGGGUUGUAAACCGCUGUCAGAGGGGAGGAAGUGCACCGGGGUCAUCCCCGAUGUUUGACCUAUCCUCAGAGGAAGGACGGGCUAAGUUCGUG
rnacentral:rRNA from 1 species